rnacentral:rRNA from 1 species
AAUCAACGCUGGCGGCGUGCCUCAGACAUGCAAGUCGAACGAUUAAAGCUCUCUUCGGAGAGUGUAUAGAGUGGCGCACGGGUGAGUAACACGUAAGUAAUCUACCUUUGAGUGGGGAAUAACCCGGGGAAACCCGAGCUAAUACCGCAUAAUGCAGCGGCACCGCAAGGUGACAGUUGUUAAAGGAGCAAUCCGCUUAAAGAGGAGCUUGCGGCAGAUUAGCUAGNGGUAAGGUAAUGGCUUACCAAGGCUUCGAUCUGUAUCCGGCCUGAGAGGGCGGUCGGACACACUGACACUGAAUAACGGGUCAGACUCCUACGGGAGGCAGCAGUCGGGAAUUUUGGGCAAUGGGCGAAAGCCUGACCCAGCAACGCCGCGUGAAGGAUGAAGUAUUUCGGUAUGUAAACUUCGAAAGAAUGGGAAGAAUCAAUGACGGUACCAUUUAUAAGGUCCGGCUAACUACGUGCCAGCAGCCGCCGU